rnacentral:snoRNA from 1 species
CCCCUCUCAGGAUCACACCUAGAGAGUUUCCAGUACUCUACCAGUCUCAGCUACGGAGGGGGAGUCAAGCAGAGGCCUACCCAUUCCGUUCCUAGCUUGGGCAGUGGCUAGCCAGUGGAAGGCAAUCUGCUACAAGU